rnacentral:rRNA from 1 species
CACGUAGGGGGCGAGCGUUAUCCGGAUUCAUUGGGCGUAAAGCGCGCGCAGGCGGCCGUCUAAGCGGGACCUCUAAUCCUGGGGCUCAACCUCAGGCCGGGUCCCGAACUGGAUGGCUCGGGUGCGGUAGGGGUAGGCGGAAUUCCCGGUGUAGCGGUGGAAUGCGCAGAUAUCGGGAAGAACACCGACGGCGAAGGCAGCCUACUGGGCCGUCACCGACGCUGAGGCGCGAAAGCUGGGGGAGC